AAGUGUUCAAUGCUUUCUGCAAUAAAAGCAAUACAGUACCUAUGGCAACAAUCUUCCCAGAGUUCUGCCAUACCUGUACAGUCAUGCACCACAUAACAAUGCUUCAGUCAACGACAGAUCGCGUAUACCACAAUGGUCCCAUAAAAUUGUAAUGGAGCUGAAAAAUUCCUAUCACCUAGUGACGGCAGCCUUCCUAAUAUCCUACCUGCUGGUGGUAAUGUUUGUGCUCUGCUGUAGUAUGAAUGGAAAAAGAUUGAUCUGGACUCCACCACAACUUCAAAUUGAGGCGCACUCCCCAGGCUUAUGGAAACAAACACCAUCAAUUCUGCAAUCAAGGUGUCUGUCAUUUUUGUUUGUGCCAAAAUCUACAUGAGAUGAAUAUGGGAAGGGCAUUGCACUGAAGUUAACCCUGGAUUUCAGACCAGAUGUACUGCCACGGAAUUGAUCUUUCAGGCCUGUGUCUCCCUGACCAUGCAAGAAGAACAUCACCAUUCCCUUCCCAUCCUAUUGUUUCCAAUUAAAUACAUUCUGCCAGAAACAUUUGUCAACUGUAAAACUCUGUGAAAAUACUUGAGGCACCUUCUUAGUAGUGCGUUGUG
rnacentral:lncRNA from 1 species